GAGUGUUUAGUUUAUAUAAAACAAUUGUUUUGAAAGCAUUUCAAAAGGUUUUAACCUUAACACCCU
rnacentral:tRNA from 1 species